AAUCUUGUGUAGAUUAGUAAAAAUUUGAACAGACUUCAGUUUUGAAUCUUCAACAAUGAGCGAUGGACUUGCUCAAUGCACCAAAGUUU
rnacentral:sRNA from 1 species